rnacentral:rRNA from 1 species
CCCUUAGAUGUUCUGGGCCGCACACGCGCUACACUGAAGGAGGCAGCGUGUACUCCUGGAUCGAAAGAUUUGGGUAACCCGCGAAUCUCCUUCGUGCUAGGGAUUGAGGGUUGCAAUUAUCCUUCAUGAACGAGGAAUUCCCAGUAAGUGCAAGUCAUAAGCUUGCGCUGACUACGUCCCUGCCCUUUGUACACACCGCCCGUCGCUACUACCGAUUGAAUGAUUUAGUGAGGACUUCGGACUGGGACCGAUGCGGCUUUCGGGCUGCGUCGGUAUUCUGGAAAGAUGUCCAAACUGUAUCAUUUAGAGGAAGUAAAAGUCGUAACA